AAGAACCUCAACCUGACUGGCAGACACAUGAUGUCAGAAUAAUUAGAUCAUGCGAUGAUUACUUGGUGGCAAGGCGAUGGUUAACAAAAUAUAUGUCCUGUGACACAUCUGAUCUCCAUUCAGAAGAGGAGGCAAUUCCUAAAAGGAGAAAGCCAAUGCCUGUCCAUUUCUUUGGGGACUCGGAUGCAGACAGCGAGACUGAAAAUCGCCACCCCAAAAAAAAAAAAGGGUCCAACCACUAGCAGGACAGUUGCCCCUCCUCCAACUAUUGCCCCUCCUCCACCUAUUGCCCCUCCUCCACCUCUUGCCCCUCCUCCACCACGGACUUCAUCACCAGCAGGACAGCGAACAAGCCAUGCAGGGGACACGCCAACCUGGCGAGGGGCGAGGUGUGGUUCAGACACCAUUGCCUGCUGUGCUGCUCAAGUUCAAAUGAUGGCCAUGCUGGAGACGCUUACACAGCAGGUCCAUCAAUUAACACAGCAGGUCCAUCAAUUAACACAGCAGGUCCAUCAAUUAACUUCCAAAGUUGACAGCUUUGUUCGCCCCAGCGUGACACAAAUGUCUGGUCAAGAAGUGGAGUGGAGAGACCCGUUUCCGUUGACCACAAUGGAGGAAGUGGACAUGUUUGAGCAACAGCUCAAAGAUCCAGCCAACGCUUUAAUGAAGAAGAGUGUGAUUUCCUCCCUGGGAACAAUCGGAGGACUGAACCACUGAACAUGAUUGUAGUUCUCUAAAUGAGACAGACACGGACAAGUAGAGUCUUUAUGAUUGGCAGAGGUUCUCAUCUAGACUGACGUUGUCCCCACUGAGGCAGCAGCUGGAGCUCGCAGCGUGACGACCCACAGCCUCCUUGUUUCACACAGAGCUGACAGCAUCGGUGUCGUGACGUAGCCGCGCGUCCAUCGAUGACUCAGACCCUUGUUAAUGUCACACUCAAUUUCGUGGACCGCCACCGGGACCAUCUGGGAUAUUCGUGCGACAGAUAACUAGCUGUGUUGGACUGCAGAUGGAAACCUGAGUUCAGAUCUGUCCCACUCAGCAGAUUCCGGCUGCGGAGCCUGAACGUCACACCUGCUGUGAAGUUUGAUCAUGGAUCAGCCCCCGUAACCAGAUCCGCUAUCUUACUUUCAUUAUUAAUUCAUGCUGUAGUUACUCACUUGAUGGCCUCUUUUAAAUGGGUGUGAUAAAGAUUGCGUGUGGGUG